UCAGAUUGAACGCUGGCGGCAUGCCUUACACAUGCAAGUCGAACGGCAGCACGGGGCAACCUGGUGGCGAGUGGCGAACGGGUGAGUAAUGCAUCGGAACGUGCCAUUGAUGGGGGAUAACGUAGCGAAAGUUGCGCUAAUACCGCAUAUUCUGUGAGCAGGAAAGCAGGGGACCGCAAGGCCUUGCGCUCUUUGAGCGGCCGAUGUCAGAUUAGCUAGUUGGUGAGGUAACGGCUUACCAAGGCGACGAUCUGUAGCGGGUCUGAGAGGAUGAUCCGCCACACUGGAACUGAGACACGGUCCAGACUCCUACGGGAGGCAGCAGUGGGGAAUUUUGGACAAUGGGCGCAAGCCUGAUCCAGCCAUGCCGCGUGAGUGAAGAAGGCCUUCGGGUUGUAAAGCUCUUUCGGCCGGGAAGAAAUCGCAUGGGUUAAUACCCUGUGUGGAUGGCGGUACCGGAAUAAGAAGCACCGGCUAACUACGUG
rnacentral:rRNA from 1 species